rnacentral:rRNA from 1 species
GACGAACCGUACAAACGUUAUUCGGAAUUACUGGGCUUAAAGGGUGCGUAGGCGGCGUGGCAAGUUGGGUGUGAAAUCCCUCGGCUUAACCGAGGAACUGCGCCCAAUACUGCCGUGCUCGAGGGAGACAGAGGUGAGCGGAACUUAGGGUGGAGCGGUGAAAUGCGUUGAUAUCCUAAGGAACACCUGUGGCGAAAGCGGCUCACUGGGUCUCUUCUGACGCUGAGGCACGAAAGCUAGGGUAGCGAACGGG